UACGAAGGGGGGCUAGCGUUGUUCGGAAUUACUGGGCGUAAAGCGUGCGCAGGCGGCUGCUCAAGUCAGGGGUGAAAGCCCAGAGCUCAACUCUGGAAUUGCCUUUGAGACUGAGUGGCUUGAGUACGGGAGAGGUGAGUGGAAUUCCCAGUGUAGAGGUGAAAUUCGUAGAUAUUGGGAAGAACACCGGUGGCGAAGGCGGCUCACUGGCCCGUAACUGACGCUCAUGCACGACAGCGUGGGGGAUCAAACAGG
rnacentral:rRNA from 1 species